AUUGAACGCUGGCGGCAUGCCUUACACAUGCAAGUCGAACGGCAGCACGGGAGCAAUCCUGGUGGCGAGUGGCGAACGGGUGAGUAAUAUAUCGGAACGUGCCCAGUCGUGGGGGAUAACGCAGCGAAAGCUGUGCUAAUACCGCAUACGAUCUAAGGAUGAAAGCGGGGGAUCGCAAGACCUCGCGCGAUUGGAGCGGCCGAUAUCAGAUUAGCUAGUUGGUGGGGUAAAGGCCCACCAAGGCGACGAUCUGUAGCUGGUCUGAGAGGACGACCAGCCACACUGGAACUGAGACGCGGUCCAGACUUCUACGGGAGGCAGCAGUGGGGAAUUUUGGACAAUGGGCGCAAGCCUGAUCCAGCAAUGCCGCGUGCAGGAUGAAGGCCUUCGGGUUGUAAACUGCUUUUGUACGGAACGAAACGGCCCUUUCUAAUACAGGGGGCUAAUGACGGUACCGUAAGAAUAAGCACCGGCUAACUACGUGCCAGCAGCCGCCGUAAAAC
rnacentral:rRNA from 1 species